CCUACGGGAGGCAGCAGUGAGGAAUAUUGGUCAAUGGACGAGAGUCUGAACCAGCCAAGUAGCGUGAAGGAUGACUGCCCUAUGGGUUGUAAACUUCUUUUAUAUGGGAAUAAAACGUUCCACGUGUGGGAUUUUGUAUGUACCAUAUGAAUAAGGAUCGGCUAACUCCGUGCCAGCAGCCGCGGUAAUACGGAGGAUCCGAGCGUUAUCCGGAUUUAUUGGGGUUAAAGGGAGCGUAGGUGGAUUGUUAAGUCAGUUGUGAAAGUUUGCGGCUCAACCGUAAAAAUGCAGUUGAAACUGGCAGUCUUGAGUACAGACGAGGUAGGCGGAAUACGUGGUGUAGCGGUGAAAUGCUUAGAUAUCACGAAGAACUCCGAUUGCGAAGGCAGUUCACUGGACUGCAACUGACACUGAGGCUCGAAAGUGUGGGUAUCAAACAGGAUUAGAUACCCGUGUAGUC
rnacentral:rRNA from 1 species